rnacentral:rRNA from 1 species
GUGGGGAAUUUUGCGCAAUGGGGGAAACCCUGACGCAGCAACGCCGCGUGGAGGAUGAAGCCCCUUGGGGUGUAAACUCCUUUCGAUCGGGAAGAUAAUGACGGUACCGAUAUAAGAAGCCCCGGCUAACUUCGUGCCAGCAGCCGCGGUAAUACGAGGGGGGCAAGCGUUGUUCGGAAUUAUUGGGCGUAAAGGGUGCGUAGGCGGUCUGAUAAGUCAUCUGUGAAAUCUAUGGGCUCAACCCAUAGUCUGCAGGCGAAACUGUCGGGCUUGAGUAUGGGAGAGGUGAGUGGAAUUUCCGGUGUAGCGGUGAAAUGCGUAGAUAUCGGAAGGAACACCUGUGGCGAAAGCGGCUCACUGGACCAUUACUGACGCUGAGGCACGAAAGCUAGGGGAGCAAACAGGAUUAGAUACCCUUGUAGUCC